GACGAACGCUGGCGGCGUGCUUAACACAUGCAAGUCGAACGGAAAGGCCCUGCUUUUGUGGGGUGCUCGAGUGGCGAACGGGUGAGUAACACGUGAGUAACCUGCCCUUGACUUUGGGAUAACUUCAGGAAACUGGGGCUAAUACCGGAUAGGAGCUCCUGCUGCAUGGUGGGGGUUGGAAAGUUUCGGCGGUUGGGGAUGGACUCGCGGCUUAUCAGCUUGUUGGUGGUGUAGUUGCUUACCAAGGCUUUGACGGGUAGCCGGCCUGAGAGGGUGACCGGCCACAUUGGGACUGAGAUACGGCCCAGACUCCUACGGGAGGCAGCAGUGGGGAAUAUUGCACAAUGGGCGGAAGCCUGAUGCAGCAACGCCGCGUGCGGGAUGACGGCCUUCGGGUUGUAAACCGCUUUCGCCUGUGACGAAGCGUGAGUGACGGUAAUGGGUAAAGAAGCACCGGCUAACUACGUG
rnacentral:rRNA from 1 species